rnacentral:rRNA from 1 species
UACAGAGGGGGCAAGCGUUGUUCGGAAUUACUGGGCGUAAAGGGCGCGUAGGUGGCCUUCUAAGUUGAACGUGAAAUCCCUGGGCUCAACCCAGGAACUGCGUCCAAGACUGGGAGGCUUGAAUCCGGGAGAGGGAUGCGGAAUUCCAGGUGUAGCGGUGAAAUGCGUAGAUAUCUGGAGGAACACCGGUGGCGAAGGCGGCAUCCUGGACCGGCAUUGACGCUGAGGCGCGAAAGCUAGGGGAGCAAACGGG